rnacentral:rRNA from 1 species
GGCUGAUUGUCCAGGCAAAUCCGGAUAAUCAAGGCUGAGGUGUGAUGACGAGGCACUACGGUGCUGAAGUAUCAAAUGCCCUGCUUCCAGGAAAAGCCUCUAAGCAUCAGGUAACAUUAAAUCGUACCCCAAACCGACACAGGUGGUCAGGUAGAGAAUACCAAGGCGCUUGAGAGAACUCGGGUGAAGGAACUAGGCAAAAUGGUGCCGUAACUUCGGGAGAAGGCACGCUGGUGUGUAGGUGA